rnacentral:rRNA from 1 species
AAUAGAUACCCUGGUAGUCCACGCCGUAAACGAUGGGCGCUAGGUGUGGGAGGUGUCGACUCCUUCCGUGCCGCAGCUAACGCAUUAAGCGCCCCGCCUGGGGAGUACGGCCGCAAGGCUAAAACUCAAAGGAAUUGACGGGGGGCCCGCACAAGCAGCGGAGCACGUGGUUUAAUUGGAUGCAACGCCAAGAACCUUACCAAGGCAUGACAUGUUCGGGAAAGCCGGAGAAAUUCGGCCCUCCUUCGGGACCCGAUCACAGGUGGUGCAUGGCUGUCGUCAGCUCGCGUCGUGAGAUAUUGGGUUAAGUCCCGCAACGAGCGCAACCCCUGUCCCAUGUUGCCAGCGAGUAAAGUCGGGGACUCAUGGGAGACUGCCGGUGACAAAUCGGAGGAAGGUGGGGAUGAUGUCAAGUCAUCAUGCCCCUUAAGUCUUGGGCUACACACGUGCUACAUUGGCCGGUACAAAGGGCUGCAAUACCGCGAGGUUGAGCGAAUCCCAAAAAGCCGGUCCCGGUUCGGAUUGGAGGCUGCAACUCGCCU